UGAGUGGCGAACGGGUGAGUAACACGUGGACAACCUGCCUCAAGGCUGGGGAUAACAUUUGGAAACAGAUGCUAAUACCGAAUAAAACUUAGUGUCGCAUGACACAAAGUUAAAAGGCGCUUCGGCGUCACCUAGAGAUGAUCCGCGGUGCAUUAGUUAGUUGGUGGGGUAAAGGCCUACCAAGACAAUGAUGCAUAGCCGAGUUGAGAGACUGAUCGGCCACAUUGGGACUGAGACACGGCCCAAACUCCUACGGGAGGCUGCAGUAGGGAAUCUUCCACAAUGGGCGAAAGCCUGAUGGAGCAACGCCGCGUGUGUGAUGAAGGCUUUCGGGUCGUAAAGCACUGUUGUAUGGGAAGAACAGCUAGAAUAGGAAAUGAUUUUAGUUUGACGGUACCAUACCAGAAAGGGACGGCUAAGUACGUGCCAGCAGCCGCGGUAAUACGUAUGUCCCGAGCGUUAUCCGGAUUUAUUGGGCGUAAAGCGAGCGCAGACGGUUUAUUAAGUCUGAUGUGAAAGCCCGGAGCUCA
rnacentral:rRNA from 1 species